rnacentral:lncRNA from 1 species
GGCAGCGAUGCGGCGGCGCCGGGGCCCUGCACGUGCCGCUCCGCGUGCCGGGCAGUCCCGGUGCCCUUCUCGCGGGAGCCGGGAUUUUUCGGGCUGAGACGGCGCGAGGAGCUCCGCUCGCCCAGGCUGGGAGGAAGCCAAGGACAGCAGCGCUGCGCCCUGCCCUGGCAUCGCCCCGCCGGACCCCGCGCGGGAGGACAGAGCACGAGGGGCUCCACUCGGCGGCCGCUGAACCCCAACCUGGCCGAAGUCGAGCGCGCACGUAGGCAUCUUCCCGGGUUUCCAGCUGCUGAGCACGCAGGGACGUUAGGAGCGGAGCUGAAAAUACGCCCGUAAUACAGGAGAGAAAAGGUGAGAUUUAACACCGGGUUUUCCGGGGCCGGCUGCUGGCCCUGGCCGUAUGCUGUGCCCGGCCUGGCAGCGGCGGAGGCGCGUGUUUAACUGCAUGCAGGAUUUCAUCAGAAGCAUGCAAUUUGCUGGGUUCUCAGGAGAUAAAAGAGAAGGGCCAUAAUAUAUGCAGUGAUGGGAAGAUCUCAAAGCUAUUAAUGAGCUGUUAAUGAGCAUAAUCCUAAUUUUUUCCCUGGAGGUAGGUGGGU